GAUGAACGCUAGCGGCAGGCCUAACACAUGCAAGUCGAGGGGUAACAUAGUUUGCUUGCAAACUGAUGACGACCGGCGCACGGGUGCGGAACGCGUAUCGAACCUGCCCCCUUCAGGAGGAUAGCCCAUGGAAACGUGGAUUAAUACUCCAUAGUACCAUACCACUGCAUGGUGGAAUGGUUAAAGAUCUAUCGGAAGGGGAUGGCGAUGCGUGCCAUUAGCUAGUUGGUAAGGUAACGGCUUACCAAGGCGACGAUGGCUAGGGGCCCUGAGAGGGGGAUCCCCCACACUGGUACUGAGACACGGACCAGACUCCUACGGGAGGCAGCAGUGAGGAAUAUUGGACAAUGGCCGGAAGGUUGAUCCAGCCAUGCCGCGUGCGGGAUGACGGCCCUACGGGUUGUAACCGCUUUUUUACA
rnacentral:rRNA from 1 species